rnacentral:misc_RNA from 1 species
AAAAAAUAACUUGUUAUCUUUGAAAGUAACUGAUUGUUUUUUAUAGUAGCAGAUCUACUUUCAUCACUAGUGUCCAAAAAAUUAUAUUUUUGAAAUAAUGCUUAAAAAAAAUUUCUACACCAUGAAACAUCAUAUCUUACGACCAUAAUCAUUUGUAAACAUUUGAAACUCAUGGUUUUGAAAAUUUUGAUAAAAAAAUAGCAAAUUCCCUAUUUUCUUUUCACAAAAAACCUAAGCCUAAGUAACUAACGGAUAUUAACUAACUUUAAGUACUCCUCAUCAUACCUUUAAAUCAUCAUCCUUGAAUGUUCCUUCAAUCCUUGGCUUCAUCCUUGAUAUCCCUUAUUGAAUGGAGGCGUAAUACCAUUGUUGAGAAAAUCAAGGAUCAAUUUUAUAACAUCAUUACCCACAACAUGUGAACCAAAAAAAUAAAAUAAAAUAGGAAUGCCAUCAAGCUUUCAAAGUGAUGUUGCCUGAGAUUCUUGGAUUAGUGGAUGGUUUUAGAAUUGCCUGCGAAAAUGAGUGAGAUGAGGUCGAUAGCCUAAGCAGGGUCACUCUGAGGUUCAAGUCAGUAGAUACUAAAAUAACAAAGCAAAUACUAAAAAAUAAUAAGAGAAUGGAAUUGCGUACCUUGACAGUCGUCAUGAGCCAUAUUUAUAGGAUUAGGGAUGACACAUUUUCCAUUACAAUCGAGAUUUUGCCUGUUUAUAUUCAACUGAUUUCUUUCGUAUAUCACAGAAAUAACAUCUAUCACAGUUAUAUUUUCGACAAAAAUAUAGUGUAUCCUAACAGUAUUUGCCCGUCUUCCAAAGUAAUUUAUUUUAUCCGAGCACCCUGAAUUUACUCGAUUAUUCUAUGUCCCGUCCGAACAUUAUUCAUCUUACCUUAACAUCUUGUGUUCUUUCCAAAGCCUCUUUACUCGAACAUCCUUAUCCUUUCCGAACGUCCUUAUCCUUUCCAAACAUCCUUAUGUUAUCCGAACAUUCUUGUCUUAUUUGAACAUUCUUGUUUUCUAUGAAUAUUCUUAUCUUAUCUAAACAUUCUUGUGUUAAGUUAUAAAAAUCCAAAUUCAACGUAAAAUUCUCUUAAGAUUAUCUCAAAUUUUUAGGACAUACUAUAUCACAAAGGGUGCAUUUGCUUAAGGGCCACAAUCAACUCAUUAGCUGUAAGAGGUGAAUGAAGAAGUUGCUUCAUAUCCUCAUCCAAAAAAGAAGUGAUUGCCUCCGACUACACAACAAUUAGAUUUGGAAAUCAUUGAAUCCCCACCUUCCUUGCCAAGAUCAGCAAUAUUGUUUUCCUCAUUAGUUAAAGAGAACGCUUCGCACAAUCUUUCUAGUUCAUUAGUCAUUUCAACCUAUUCUAUUUAGCAGAACACUCGAAAUCCUCCUUUAAUGUGCAUAGCGGCAGCAACACCCCCUCACGAUAAAUAAAAAUUAAAAAAAGAAAAAGAGCAAGGCAUGUGUAUGAGUAGCGUCUGGCUUCCGACUGCAGAUGUACUGAAAUUCUCUAAA